AGUCGGACAGGUGAUCGCGGCUGCAGGAGCCGAAAGGCUGCAGGUGAGGAAAGUCCGGGCUUCACAGGGCAGGGUGCCGGAUAACGUCCGGUGGAGGCGACUCCCAGACCAGUGCAACAGAAAUAUACCGCCUGAGAUCAGGUAAGGGUGAAAUGGCGGGGUAAGAGCCCACCGCCUGGCUGGUAACAGACAGGGCACAUGUAAACUCCACCCGAAGCAAGACCGAACAGAAAGCGAUACAGUUGCCCGCUGUGCUUUCGGGUAGGUCGCUCAAGCCAUUUGGCAACAAAUGGAUUAGAUGGAUGAUCACCCAACGACAUAACCCGGCUUAUCGUCCGACUCUA
rnacentral:RNase_P_RNA from 1 species